UGGGGAAUUUUGGACAAUGGGCGCAAGCCUGAUCCAGCCAUGCCGCGUGCGGGAAGAGGGCCUUCGGGUUGUAAACCGCUUUUGUCAGGGAAGAAAUCUUCUGAGUUAAUACCUCGGGAGGAUGACGGUACCUGAAGAAUAAGCACCGGCUAACUACGUGCCAGCAGCCGCGGUAAUACGUAGGGUGCAAGCGUUAAUCGGAAUUACUGGGCGUAAAGCGUGCGCAAGGCGGUUUUGUAAGACAGAGGUGAAAAUCCCCAGGCUCAACCUGGGAACUGCCUUUGUGACUGCAAGGCUUGAGUGCGGCAGAGGGGGGAUGGAAUUCCGCGUGUAGCAGUGAAAUGCGUAGAUAUGCGGAGGAACACCGAUGGGAAGGC
rnacentral:rRNA from 1 species